rnacentral:piRNA from 1 species
CAUUCCCCGGACUGUCGGCCAGGA